rnacentral:misc_RNA from 1 species
GGGGACGGUGUUGCGGAUCAUGAGGUGGCGGAACUCCUCCUCGAGCCGGGACAUAGAGAUCUGGAGCAGGCUGUCGGUUUGGGCGCGGAGAUCGGGGGCGGCGGGGUAGAGGGAGAUGAGGUCGUCGACGGCGGUGAGGUACUCGGCGGCGUCUUCGGCGGAGGACUCCCAGAGGAGGGAGUCGGGGCCGGAGGCGUCCCAGCGGAGGAUGACCCGCUCGAUGGCGGCGAGGCCGGGCGAGGCGGUGGUGGGGGGCGGGGAGCUGG